rnacentral:lncRNA from 1 species
CUGAGAGGGUCUUCUCUGUGCCAGAGUCUGAAUGCUGCCUUUGGGCAGGAAGCAAGGGCCUGUAACAUUGACCUAGCAAAUGAUGCUGGCUGCUCCACGCUGGAAGAUGUUGUUCUGAGCACAGCACAUGGGUUCAAAUGUUACGGAGAGAUAAGAAAGGUGCAGACUUGGAGGUGGAGGAGAAAGGAAAGGAACAAAAACAAUUUAAUAAUGAAUAUAUUAUGUAGACGUGUCAUGCCUCUUGCCUGCUGGCAUGGAUUAAUAUCCAUAAAUCAAAAAGGAAGGGACUGUUUUAAAUGCUGGAGAUGGAGGCUGGUCCUCAGAAAAUUGCUAGAGGGGCAUUAAUAAGGAGAGACAUCUGGGAAAGGCUCCAGGUGCAUUGGCUGCAUGCAGGGGAAAUUCUGCAGAACCAGUGUCAGCUGUAAUGUAUUCCUGUGCUGUGGGGACCCUGGGCCCCCAUGUGCAGGCUGGAGGAGCCACGACUGAGGUGGGAUUUUCUGCCUCAUCUGUGCUGGGCAUGCAGUCAUCAUCUCCCAUCCACCACGGUGACUGGGACCCCAAGGAUGGGAGCUGCAGCUUUCCCAGUGAGCCCCAGCCGAUGGGAAGGGACUGGGAGAAUUUUGCAUUGUGGGGGAACCAGGCAGGGAGGAGCAGCCCCAGGAGGGAGCAUCCACUGCCACAACACAUACAGAGAGAG